CUCCCAGCAUGCCGGGCGCGGCGGAGCGUUGCAGGCUGGGAUAUGUAGUCCGCAGGGGGCGGGCUCCUGCUGCCCGGCAGGCGGCAGGACCCCGGCCGGCUCGGCUCUCCUGCUCCUCCCAGGACCAGCACAAAAUGUGGCCCAUUCCAGACAUCAGAUCCACAUGGAGCACACUGGAGCUCCCCAUGGCAGCUGAAGUCUGGCUGCACGUUGCACAGAUUGUGUUGUAGGAUCAGAGCCUGAGACAGUACCUGCCCUAAGGAUAGGAAAGAAACUUACAAAAAGGGGCAAAAUCAAAUCACUGGAUUCGGAUAAUUCAAACACCCUGCGCUGUCCGAAGUAACCAACAUAGUGUCCAUUUGGUGCGUGCCAGAGCCUAGAGGUGCAGAAGGAGAGAUGGAAAAGUAUGUGAAGGCAUUAACUCCUCUUGGGACAGAAAACUCCCGGACAGGAAACAUGUGGACUGGUACAGUAUUAGAAGUGAAGUGACAGGGAUCAGCAGAAGCGGGAGACAUGCUGGCAGCCUGUUCGACUUGGGGCAGGUUCUAUAAUGGGAUUUUGAAUCAUCUGGAUUCUACUGUUCAUUGACUUUAUUGCCUCACUUUCUUUUGUAUUCAACAGAAUAUGAACUUGCCAUGCCUACCUUCUGUGAGUGUGAGAGAGCAAAAUGCAACUGGCUUCCACUCCGAGCUAUGUUGUUGAAACAAUACACCACUUACGAUAUAACUGCUUGUAUCCACACUGACCAUUGUGGGUUUAUUCACAUCAUAGUACCUGAGAACUGAUACUUUUGAGAUAAUUUCUUUUACCUUUUUGAAGGCAAUUUCUUGAUUUGACACCCACAUUCAAGAUGUGUAGGACUUUAAUAGUUCAUUCUGUGGUUUUAUCACUAUAGAAAGGUCUUGUAGAUAUUGACCAAGGUAAUUUACAUCCUCAGGACAUAUCUGAGUUUUGAUACAUUAGUUGGUGCAUUCAAUUCUCAAACUUCUUUCACUUUCUCAGAGCUAGGACUCAUUCCCUCUUUGUUUAUUCUCUGUCCCAAAAAACUUGAUUUGGGGUAGGCCGAAAACACAGUUUUCCUUAUUUAGAUUCAGUCUGAACUGAUUGAUUAGGUUAGAACUUUGUUGAGGGCUCUGUUGUGUUCUUCCAUCAAAGACUCAUAUAUCAAAAUAUUGUUCAUUACAACUACAGAUUUUCCAAAGAAACAUGGGAGAACUAUAAAGGAACACAAAUGGAGAUGUAGUUUUCAUGAACAAUUAUGAAAGCUGUUAGUGUGUGAUCCUUUGAUCAAACACAGUCUGAAUGCAAAGCUUUUCUCUUUGUAAUUUAUUUCUGUGAUGAACUGGCCCAUGCAGUUAGAACACCUCCAGAGCUGUGUCAGGUGACUUCAGCUCUAGGGGAGGUUGAAGAUGAUUGCAAGUCCCUUCUGAGAUGAUUGUGAUACUUGCUCCUUAGUGAAUUUUAAAGUCUAUAAGUUUUCCAUGAAUAUUCAGUUUCACUCUCCAGACAGGCUGUGUGUCAUCACAUGUGAUAGAUCCAUAAGCAAUGGCUCUUGAUUGUCUAUUAUAUGAGUCAACUCCCUGACUGCUUUGAUGAAGCAAACUGCAAAAUGACCAUAUUUUGUGCAUUUUUUACACCUUGCACCUCCAGUGAAACAAACAUCUGUUGGGCUACAAAUUUUUCCACAUCUUGUGCAAGUAGACUGAAAGGCUUUGGAGUUUGACUGGAAUUUGACCCUCUUAGGCUGGGAGUUUCUGGUUUUUCAAGUUGCUCCUGCCUUUUGUUCUGCUGUUUGACCAGUUCAGACUGCUUUGCUAUCUGUACAACUGUGGCUAGGGUUUGGUCUGUUUUUAAUAGUAGCUGCUGUUAAAGAUUUUUAUCUGUUAGCCCAAUAACCAUCCUCUCUCAGAUAUUUUCAUGUUUUGCAAAUCCAGGAUCAUAGUUGUCAGCCAAUGGAUGCAGAGCAUUUAUAAACAUUCAACAUAGCUCCCUGGUUCUUGGAUUCUCUGGUGAAAAUAUGCCCUUUCAUAAACCACAUUUCUCCAAGGUGUAAAGUGCCCAUCAAACAUAGCCAGAACUCUUUCAUAGUCACCUUUGUGACUGUCUUUAAUAAAGUCAAAGGAUUUAAAGAAAUACUUUUCCUGCUUCCUCAUAGCAUAAAUUAAAGAAGAUACUUGAAACCUCCAGUUUCCUAUGGCGCUUGUAGCAAUUCAAAAUCUUGCAAAAUACUGCUUUCAGUGUGUCCAUUGUGAAGGUUUGUCAAAGCUGAAGUUCUCUGGGGGCAUUGAAGAGUGGCAUGUUGAUGAGAUCCUGCAGCCUUUAUUGCUUUUUCUUUCUGUUUGCAACUUUUGUUGCUAUUCUUUCUGUCUGCAAUCUUUGUUGUUCCUUCCCUUUUUUUUUUUUUUGCGACCUUUGUUGCUGUUUUUCUUCUGUUUCUUGUUCUCCCCUGGCACUAAUCACACUGCUGAAACCAUAUCACGUACUUCUUGUACAUAGUAGGUUGCAACUAGCAGGUCAGGAUUCUGUAUCAGAUACAGACUGACUACAGACCAUGAGGAAGAGGAUAGGUAGUGGGGAGGCUGAUAGGAGUUGUAGUCUCCUGCUUAAUAGAUCCAUCACACUAUCAAGCUACUCCAAAAGAAGGCUGAAUUAAACUUCUUUUGAAGACUUGUCCACUAGUCCUGAAGCCUCAAACAUUUCACUUGUCCCAGAAGGCCAUUCUAUUUCUUUCUUUCUUUCUUUCUUUCUUUACUAACUCUUUUGCAGGGACUCAUUGUCACUCAAUAGAAUUCACCCUACCAGGCAGUUGGAACAGGGCUAUAUGAUGUGAACACAAGGAUUCUUUAGUGUGUUAGGUUUUCUUUAACAUUUGCAUGAUCCAAAACAAUACCUGGCAGCUGCCUUGUGAUUUAUAAUCCCAGAUGACAACAGUCCUUUCAGUUACAGCAACAACCCGUUUGAGCUGAGUAAGAUAAUCGCAUCCAGUAACCCAGGAACUAUCCUGAUGAAAGAAAAGGGAUGGUUGAAAGAUUUAUUUCAGAGUAACAGCCGUGUUAGUCUGUAUUCGCAAAAAGAAAAGGAGUACUUGUGGCACCUUAGAG